rnacentral:piRNA from 1 species
UAAAUUCAUGAUUCCGAUAAA